UACGGGGGGGGCAAGCGUUGUUCGGAAUUACUGGGCGUAAAGGGCUCGUAGGUGGCCAACUAAGUCAGACGUGAAAUCCCUCAGCUUAACUGGGGAACUGCGCCUGAUACUGGAUGGCUUGAGUUUGGGAGAGGGAUGCGGAAUUCCAGGUGUAGCGGUGAAAUGCGUAGAUAUCUGGAGGAACACCGGUGGCGAAGGCGGCAUCCUGGACCAACACUGACACUGAUGAGCGAAAGCCAGGGGAGCAAACGGG
rnacentral:rRNA from 1 species